rnacentral:rRNA from 1 species
GAUGAACGCUGGCGGCGUGCUUAACACAUGCAAGUCGAACGGACUUUACAUGAAACCUAGUGAUUGUAAAGUUAGUGGCGGACGGGUGAGUAACGCGUGGGUAACCUGCCUUGUACAGGGGGACAACAGUUGGAAACGACUGCUAAUACCGCAUAAGCGCACAGAGCUGCAUGGCUCAGUGUGAAAAACUUUAGUGGUACAAGAUGGACCCGCGUCUGAUUAGCUAGUUGGUGAGGUAACGGCCCACCAAGGCGACGAUCAGUAGCCGGCCUGAGAGGGUGAACGGCCACAUUGGGACUGAGACACGGCCCAAACUCCUACGGGAGGCAGCAGUGGGGAAUAUUGCACAAUGGGGGAAACCCUGAUGCAGCGACGCCGCGUGAGUGAAGAGUAUUUCGGUAUGUAAAGCUCUAUCAGCAGGGAAGAAAAUGACGGUACCUGACUAAGAAGCCCCGGCUAAACUACGUG